UACGGGGGGGGCAAGCGUUGUUCGGAAUUACUGGGCGUAAAGGGCGCGUAGGCGGCCUUCUAAGUCGGACGUGAAAUCCCUCGGCUCAACCGAGGAACUGCGUCCGAUACUGGAGGGCUUGAGUUCGGGAGAGGGAAGCGGAAUUCCAGGUGUAGCGGUGAAAUGCGUAGAUAUCUGGAGGAACACCGGUGGCGAAGGCGGCAUCCUGGACCGACACUGACGCUGAGGAGCGAAAGCCAGGGGAGCAAACGGG
rnacentral:rRNA from 1 species